UGUGCAUGGUAGAGGAGCGUUCUGUAAGCGGUUGAAGGUGUGUCGAGAGGCAUGCUGGACGUAUCAGAAGUGCGAAUGCUGACAUGAGUAACGUUAAAGCGGGUGAAAAACCCGCUCGCCGGAAGACCAAGGGUUCCUGUCCAACGUUAAUCGGGGCAGGGUGAGUCGACCCCUAAGGCGAGGCCGAAAGGCGUAGUCGAUGGGAAACGGGUUAAUAUUCCCGUACUUCUUCUUACUGCGAUGGAGUGACGGAGAAGGCUAGGCCAGCGCACUAUCGGAUGUGCGUUUAAGGUUGUAGGCGGUGUACUUAGGCAAAUCCGGGUACACAUACGCUGAGAGCUGAUGACGAGGUGCUACGGCACUGAAGUGGUUGAUGCCAUGCUUCCAGGAAAAACUUCUAAGCUUCAGGUAAGAAGGAAUCGUACCCCAAACCAACACUGGUGGUCAGGUAGAGAAUACCAAGGCGCUUGAGAGAACUCGGGUGAAGGAACUAGGCAAAAUGGUACCGUAACUUCGGGAGAAGGUACGCCGCUGACGGUGAUGGGACUUGCUCCCUAAGCUAUCGGCGGUCGCAGAUACCAGGUGGCUGCAACUGUUUAUCAAAAACACAGCACUGUGCAAACACGUAAGUGGACGUAUACGGUGUGACGCCUGCCCGGUGCCGGAAGGUUAAUUGAUGGGGUUAUUCUUCGGAAGAAGCUCUUGAUCGAAGCCCCGGUAAACGGCGGCCGUAACUAUAACGGUCCUAAGGUAGCGAAAUUCCUUGUCGGGUAAGUUCCGACCUGCACGAAUGGCGUAAUGAUGGCCACGCUGUCUCCACCCGAGACUCAGUGAAAUUGAAUUUGCGGUGAAGAUGCCGUAUACCCGCGGCUAGACGGAAAGACCCCGUGAACCUUUACUACAGCUUGGCACUGAACAUUGACCCUACAUGUGUAGGAUAGGUGGGAGGCUUUGAAGCAGUCACGCUAGUGGCUGUGGAGCCGACCUUGAAAUACCACCCUUGUAGUGUUGAUGUUCUAACCUGGGCCCCUGAAUCGGGGUUAGGGACAGUGCCUGGUGGGUAGUUUGACUGGGGCGGUCUCCUCCCAAAGAGUAACGGAGGAGCACGAAGGUUGGCUAAGUAUGGUCGGACAUCAUACGGUUAGUGCAAUGGCAUAAGCCAGCUUAACUGCGAGACAGACACGUCGAGCAGGUACGAAAGUAGGUCAUAGUGAUCCGGUGGUUCUGCAUGGAAGGGCCAUCGCUCAACGGAUAAAAGGUACUCCGGGGAUAACAGGCUGAUACCGCCCAAGAGUUCAUAUCGACGGCGGUGUUUGGCACCUCGAUGUCGGCUCAUCACAUCCUGGGGCUGAAGUCGGUCCCAAGGGUAUGGCUGUUCGCCAUUUAAAGUGGUACGCGAGCUGGGUUCAGAACGUCGUGAGACAGUUCGGUCCCUAUCUGCCGUGGGCGUUUGAGAAUUGAGAGGGGCUGCUCCUAGUACGAGAGGACCGGAGUGGACGAACCUCUGGUGUUCCGGUUGUCACGCCAGUGGCAUUGCCGGGUAGCUAAGUUCGGAAUCGAUAACCGCUGAAAGCAUCUAAGCGGGAAGCGAGCCUCAAGAUGAGUUCUCACUAGACUCUCGAAGUCUCUAAAGGGCCGUCCAAGACUAGGACGUUGAUAGGCAGGGUGUGUAAGCGUUGUGAGGCGUUGAGCUAACCUGUACUAAUGACCCGUGAGGCUUAACCAUACAACACCCAAUGGGUUU
rnacentral:rRNA from 1 species